GAACCAAACCAAAAAAAAAAAAAAAAACACACCCCACAAACCACGUUGAGCAGUAAAGUCACGUUUCAUCUUGAACUUCCACAGUGCUUCGUUUGACUCCACAGUCCGCCUCUGGGACGUAGAGCGGGGCAUCUGUAUUCACACGCUGACUAAACACCAGGAGCCUGUCUACAGCGUGGCCUUCAGCCCCGACGGUCGGCAUCUGGCCAGUGGCUCGUUCGACAAAUGUGUGCACAUUUGGAACACGCAGACAGGUGCGUUAGUCCACAGCUACAGAGGGACAGGGGGAAUCUUCGAGGUUUGCUGGAACGCAGCGGGAGACAAAGUUGGAGCCAGCGCGUCAGAUGGAUCUGUGUGUGUACUAGACCUGCGGAAAUAGCGCCGCUGCUUGUUUGGAAGCCAUGGACCGACCCUGAAUGUGUACAUAGCCAAACGACUGUCCCUGCCGGCCCCUGCGUACUGCUCACUACUUACAACUUUGGCCCCUCCUCCCCCAACACACACGCGCAAACACACACAGACGAGUCAGACAGAGAGCAGGAAAAGGGAAACAGGAAGCGCGCGGCUCCAGGAGGCAGCAGGUCCCACGGAAGGAAGGACGUAGAGAGCAGGAGGAAUGAUGCAACCGCUCUCAUCUGUUUGGACUCUUUGUAGAGCAGCAGCGCGGCGACUUCAAGAGACAUCGAAAAGGAAACCAACAACAACAACGACAACAACAAAACAAAAGGAAUUCAAAAUCCGUGUACUUACCAACAAUUGAAAGCUACGUUGCUUUUUUUUUUGGAUCCUAAAACACUUCAUCACGUCAUCAAAAUGGAAAAGAAAAAGAGAAACGCUCUUGGUCUUUGAUACUAGCUUGGAUCUGAUUGAUCAGACAUAUCAACAUCUCCAAACAUGAAACAGGAUGGCACUUAGUUUUUAUUUUCUGAACUUUAGAGCUUAUGUUUCUGUGUUGCAAUGUUUAUUUUGUGUUAUUUUUUUUGUUGCAGUCAAGAGAUUGGAGUUUUAUGGCGAACAAACACAGAAACAGAAAUCAGCGCGUCUUUACGUUGUUUUUUUUUUCUUUGCUGGCUGUUGCAACAGGGUCAUACUGCAGUAUCUCAUGUCUAAACUCUGGGCUCUCACAAGUGACACACACACACACAAAAAAAAAUGCUUUAAAACAUGUCUCAGUUUUGUGUUUCGUCUGGUUUUUUUUACCCACAAUUCACUUCACUGGAUUUGACCACAGCAGUUUGUCGUUAGGUUAAAACAUUAAAGUAAUAAUCUCUCCCUGGAGUCUUCUGAAUCUUCGGAGGAAGUUCGAGCUUUAUAUGGUCACGACCGGCUUCG